UGCAGUCGAGCGAUGGAUUGAGAGCUUGCUCUCAUGAAGUUAGCGGCGGACGGGUGAGUAACACGUGGGUAACCUGCCCAUAAGACUGGGAUAACUCCGGGAAACCGGGGCUAAUACCGGAUAAUAUUUUGAACUGCAUGGUUCGAAAUUGAAAGGCGGCUUCGGCUGUCACUUAUGGAUGGACCCGCGUCGCAUUAGCUAGUUGGUGAGGUAACGGCUCACCAAGGCAACGAUGCGUAGCCGACCUGAGAGGGUGAUCGGCCACACUGGGACUGAGACACGGCCCAGACUCCUACGGGAGGCAGCAGUAGGGAAUCUUCCGCAAUGGACGAAAGUCUGACGGAGCAACGCCGCGUGAGUGAUGAAGGCUUUCGGGUCGUAAAACUCUGUUGUUAGGGAAGAACAAGUGCUAGUUGAAUAAGCUGGCACCUUGACGGUACCUAACCAGAAAGCCACGGCUAACUACGUGCCAGCAGCCGCGGUAAUACGUAGGUGGCAAGCGUUAUCCGGAAUUAUUGGGCGUAAAGCGCGCGCAGGUGGUUUCUUAAGUCUGAUGUGAAAGCCCACGGCUCAACCGUGGAGGGUCAUUGGAAACUGGGAGACUUGAGUGCAGAAGAGGAAAGUGGAAUUCCAUGUGUAGCGGUGAAAUGCGUA
rnacentral:rRNA from 1 species